rfam:Macleaya cordata isolate BLH2017 scaffold8565, whole genome shotgun sequence.
GGGUUGAUAAUGAUAAUUUUAUUAUCUUAGCAGAUUUCAAUAAGAUUUUUUUAUCUAUGAUCUGGUUGUUACACACACUGAAGCCU